CGAGACCUACGGGGGGCAGCAGUGGGGAAUAUUGGGCAAUGGGCGCAAGCCUGACCCAGCAACGCCGCGUGAAGGAAGAAGGCUUUCGGGUUGUAAACUUCUUUUAUCAGGGACGAAGCAAGUGACGGUACCUGAUGAAUAAGCCACGGCUAACUACGUGCCAGCAGCCGCGGUAAUACGUAGGUGGCAAGCGUUAUCCGGAUUUACUGGGUGUAAAGGGCGUGUAGGCGGGAGUGCAAGUCAGAUGUGAAAACU
rnacentral:rRNA from 1 species